rnacentral:ncRNA from 1 species
GCGCGGGAGAGUGCGGGCCGCUGGGCACGCCACCGAAGGAGCAACCGCCCCGGAAUCUCUCAGGUGCCAAGGACCGCGCGGG